UGAGCAAACAAGACCUCCGGUCUUUUUCUCAAAUCUUGUUUCCCUAUCAGUUCAUCAAAAAAUAUGUAGCUAGGAAGACGAACAUUAAAAUGCUUCAAAAAAAAUUUAUAAUCAAACGUUGAGGAGUUCCUUUUUCCGUGUUCACAAAGCCAUAGCUAAACAUACAGCAGGGAUAGGAGAAUUUGAAACAGGUAUAAAAAAUUUCGAUUGCGUCUCAGGUUUGCAGCAGACUGCGAACCGCGGCCUUUUGAUAGUAAUAUGAGGAAUGUUUCCAGUAACCAGUUUUAUAAGAGCUUCAGGAGGCAUCGGUAAUGAUUGUUGUUGAUUGACAACUUCAAAGUACCGGUUGGUUCACAAAAUCAAUUCAUUUUUCCCUACACUUGUCCUCACGGAAGACUGUUCAAAACGUCAUACGUACAAACUCAUCAUCUCGGGCAUAUGGCGCCAUGUCACUCACUUGACCCAAACUUUACCUGGAUGUCCACGUAUGUAACGCAAAGCAUAAAUAAACAAAUACAGCGCUUACGCCACUCCAGAUGUGGGAGGCACAAUGGAUGCAUACUGGACGCUAUGUGUCCCUUGGAAAUUGGUGGUGUGGCUUGCUUGUCGAGAAAACAGAAAACAGAAAACAUCUGCCUUACGACGAUCAUUGAUAUUUUCGUAUUCUGAGCAAAGAGCCUCCUUUACUCAGAAACAAUAGUAAGGAUGAAUUUCUCAGAAAUUGAGACCCAUCCAAUCGCAUCACACCAACUCGCCUAAUUAGCAUAACGCUCGCAUUGAAUUUCUGGGCUUUUUCUUAAGUUAAAAACGACGUGUUAAGACACUAUUUUUAAAGUUCCAGGAGGACAGACUUUCGCCAUGUCGAGCGGGUUGGAUAAUUUAUUUGCUGAAGCAAUGCUCGAUCAAGACGAGCAUUUGGAGAUGUACAAACAGCAACUGACUAAACUAAAAGAACAGGGUUUACUACCAAACAUGAGCGUGAGGUUGGAGUAUAAAGUUUACUCGAUAAAAUCAAGCGGUUUUUGUGCCCACAAAUCCAUUGUUCUCACGACAACUGAUCAGCAUUUCGUCUCUGUAGAACUUGGCUUCAUCAUAUUUGACGGUGUAAAGCAUACUUGUCCAGUGGCGAAGAAAGUUGACGAAGCUAAUAAGAGCAAGAUGAAGUUUCUCGGACGAGUCUUCACCACUGGAGAUGAGCUGAUUGUUAAGGCCAUAAAGGCGAUGAAACGUUUUGGAAGGUAUUUUAAGCUUUCCAACAACUGCCAGGACUACUGUAACAUAUACGCAGAGGAGAUUGGAUUAAAACCAGCCAAAACGGACAGGGAUAAAGUGAUAGCUGGAAUCAUGAUCACCGUUAUCAUUGCAAUUGUCUUUGCUUUUAUAUCGCCGUUUGGUGAAAAAAAUCCCAAAUGAAUGCUGUGACAGACUGGAAACAAAAGCACCCAAAAAGUGCAUAUGGUUUUUAUCCAACUGGUAAUGGGAAACAAACCCGGCUCUCAGUAUUCUGCCUCAAGACGCAGAAUUCAUUUCUUGUGAUCGCAAUUUUUGUUUUAGAGUGAAAUUAAAGAUGUGGAGCAGCGAAUUUUACGAAUUAUAAUUUUAGAGAAGCAUAGGAUUAUGGAACUUGAGAACUUGAGAACUUGAGACAGAAAUUAUGAACUGGACGCUGUUGAUGCCCACAACUAGCGGAGCAUGUUUUUAGUCAUGUUUUUUACCUCUGUAAGUUUACUUCGCUGCGUAACAAGUAGUUUUAUUUGCUCUCUAAACAAGACCUCCUCUAGCUUUAUCGUUCUAUUUGAGGGCCAGUCCAAUGUAACAUUGUCGAACGUACGAAACAAAUGAUAAAGAUCAUUAUAAGUUCGCUUUCAAUGCUCCGUCGAUUAAUGCCGCAAGGUGCACGCACGCACGCACGCACACACGCAAAAUCGCAAAACGACCCAGCUGAGUCUCAUUUUGUUGCUGAUUCUCGUCUCCUUUUCCCGCAGUUCAAAAUAUUUCUCCACUUUUCCUUCUUAAAUAAAAACCAACCAUUCAUAUCUCAGUUCACCCUGGACUAGCUAGAACCUCACCACUUCCAGAUACCACUUAUGUUAUCGUGGCAGUUUAUUUUUCCACUUUAUUUUAGGUGAUUCCUCAGCAUUGCACUGUGCAUCCUGUACUGCGCAUAAAAAUCACGAAUUCUGGCGAAUAAGCGCGCGCGCAUUCCGAGAACAUGGUGGUGUUUUUUAUUGAUGGAAUAGGUAAAGGUCCCACGGUCUUUCGCUCUUGAACGAGCACGGUGACAUAUAAUUUUUUUUGCAUAAUUUUGCUGUACAAAUUAUCCCUAAAAAUUGGAGAAGUCAAAAAAAAUUCAUCGAAGGAAAAGUAUUCGAUUAAGCUCCUCUGACCCAAUUAUGAAAGAGGGUCUCAAAGGGAUGAUGGUUAAAAUGGUUAUGAAACUUAAAAAUUGGACGAUU